rnacentral:rRNA from 1 species
GAUGAACGCUGGCGGCGUGCCUAAUACAUGCAAGUCGAGCGAACAGACGAGGAGCUUGCUCCUUUGACGUUAGCGGCGGACGGGUGAGUAACACGUGGGUAACCUACCUAUAAGACUGGGAUAACUUCGGGAAACCGGAGCUAAUACCGGAUAAUAUUUCGAACCGCAUGGUUCGAUAGUGAAAGAUGGCUUUGCUAUCACUUAUAGAUGGACCUGCGCCGCAUUAGCUAGUUGGUAAGGUAACGGCUUACCAAGGCAACGAUGCGUAGCCGACCUGAGAGGGUGAUCGGCCACACUGGAACUGAGACACGGUCCAGACUCCUACGGGAGGCAGCAGUAGGGAAUCUUCCGCAAUGGGCGAAAGCCUGACGGAGCAACGCCGCGUGAGUGAUGAAGGUCUUCGGAUCGUAAAACUCUGUUAUUAGGGAAGAACAAACGUGUAAGUAACUGUGCACGUCUUGACGGUACCUAAUCAGAAAGCCACGGCUAACUACGUG